rnacentral:rRNA from 1 species
AAUGAACGCUGGCGGCAUGCCUAAUACAUGCAAGUCGAGCGAGCGGCGGACGGGUGAGUAAUGUAUGGGGACCGUCCGAUAGCGAGGCAUAACUACUGGAAACGGUAGCUAAUAACGCAUUCUAUCCGCUUACCCAUUUGGGAUUAGCUAGUAGGUGAGGUAAUGGCUCACCUAGGCGACGACCCCUAGCUGGUCUGAGAGGAUGAUCAGCCACACUGGGACUGAGACACGGCCCAGACUCCUACGGAGGCAGCAGUGGGGAAUAUUGCACAAUGGGCGCAAGCCUGAUGCAGCCAUGCCGCGUGUAUGAAGAAGGCCCUAGGGUUGUAAAGUACUUUCAGUCGGGAGGCGUUACCGACAGAAGAAGCCCCGGCUAACUCCGUGCCAGCCGCCGCGGUAAUAC